rnacentral:tRNA from 1 species
GUUUAAAUAGCUUAUAAUAAGAGUAUAACAUUGAAGCUGUUAGGGAGAGCUAUUGUUCUUUAGACA